CCCUUAGAUGUUCUGGGCCGCACGCGCGCUACACUGACGGAUUCGACGAGCUUACAACCUUGGCCGAAAGGUCUGGGUAAUCUCCAAAAUCCGUCGUGAUGGGGAUAGAUUAUUGCAAUUAUUAAUCUUCAACGAGGAAUGCCUAGUAAGCGCAAGUCAUCAGCUUGCGUUGAUUACGUCCCUGCCCUUUGUACACACCGCCCGUCGCUCCUACCGAUUGAAUGGUCCGGUGAAGCGUUUGGACUAUGGUUUUCUGAUGGUCCGCCGUUGGAUUACCGUGGGAAGUUCGUUAAACCUUAUCAUUUAGAGGAAGGAGAAGUCGUAACA
rnacentral:rRNA from 1 species